GUGGACGGCCAUAGUGGCUUGGAAAUACCCGAUCCCAUCUCGAACUCGGAAGUCAAGCAGGCCUACGUUUUGGGGUGUACUGUUCUUAUGAAUGGGAAACUCAGAAAGCUGUCCCAC
rnacentral:rRNA from 1 species